rnacentral:rRNA from 1 species
AGCAGCUCACUGGGUGUAAAGCGUGCGCAGGCGGUUUUGUAAGACAGAGGUGAAAUCCCCGGGCUCAACCUGGGAACUGCCUUUGUGACUGCAAGGCUGGAGUGCGGCAGAGGGGAUGGAAUUCCGCGUGUAGCAGUGAAAUGCGUAGAUAUGCGGAGGAACACCGAUGGCGAAGGCAAUCCCCUGGGCCUGCACUGACGCUCAUGCACGAAAGCGUGGGGAGCAAACA